UCAACCAAUCAGUGACAGAGAAGAAUGAGACUGGAUGUACAUAACAUUUAUUAAGAACCUUCCCCAGCUGAGGUGAUAUCAUUCCGUAUGUUUUGAGUGGAAUUGUAGUGGUUGAUCUGGUGUCACGGUUUUACCGCGGUAUCUGUCCCCUGCCAUGGCUCUCAUAAGGGUACUGCGAUUGUCUGUCCUACUUGUUGGCUGUCAAGUAAUUGCUUCCAGGAAUGGGUUGGCUGGGAAGCUUGGAUAUGCACAAGGGCUGGUCCAAACCCCCAUAUAUCAGCCCUAUGAAGAGCAGACUGGAUCCGCUCCCCAGCAGAAACCAUGGAUGCCCAACCAAAAGCAAACCCUCAUGACGGCACAGACACAAAAGAGCUCAUUGCCCAACCAGCAGCAGCCUCAUGGCUACCAGCACCAGCAGCAGCAGCCUCAUGGCUACCAGCAGCAGCAGCAGCCUCGUAGCUACCAGCAGCAGCAGCCUCGUAGCUACCAGCAGCAGCAGCCUCGUAGCUACCAGCAGCAGCAGCCUCGCAACUAUCUCUUGGAGCAGCGUCUACACCCGCAGCUAGUUGAAAAGCAUCCUAGCAUUGUGCCCAAGCUUUGUACCGCGAUUGAGAAUAUAGCUAGCUGGCUGAAAGGUCCCAGCUGUGUCCAAAAAAAAAAGCCACUACUCGGUGAUGUGCUAGGGCAACAUCAACUGCGCCUAGAUCUGCAGAAAAUUCUGCACACGUUCCCAAGUUGGCUCCAUUCCCGAGCAGAAGCCACACAUUCCCCCUGAGUAUGAAGAACUGGAGAAACCUAUGCAGCAGCAGCAUCCAUCUAUGUAGCACCCUAUGCAAAUGCACCCUAUGCAGAUGCAGCAGCCAUAUAUGCAC